rnacentral:rRNA from 1 species
GCAAGUCGAACGAACCUAACCAUUAGUUUACUAUUGGAGCGGUUAGUGGCGGACUGGUGAGUAACACGUAAGCAACCUGCCUAUCAGAGGGGAACAACAGUUAGAAAUGACUGCUAAUACCGCAUAUGCCUUAGAAUCACAUGGUUCAAAAGGGAAAGGAGCAAUCCGCUGAUAGAUGGGCUUGCGUCUGAUUAGCUAGUUGGUGGGGUAACGGCCUACCAAGGCGACGAUCAGUAGCCGAACUGAGAGGUUGAACGGCCACAUUGGGACUGAGAUACGGCCCAGACUCCUACGGGAGGCAGCAGUCGGGAAUAUUGCGCAAUGGAGGAAACUCUGACGCAGUGACGCCGCGUGCAGGAAGAAGGUUUUCGGAUUGUAAACUGCUUUAGACAGGGAAGAACAAAGACAGUACCUGUAGAAUAAGCUCCGGCUAACUACGUGCCAGCAGCCGCGGUAAUACGUAGGGAGCGAGCGUUAUCCGGAUUUAUUGGGUGUAAAGGGUGCGUAGACGGGAAGUCAAGUUAGUUGUGAAAUCCCUCGGCUUAACUGAGGAACUGCAACUAAAACUGAUUUUCUUGAGUACUGGAGAGGAAAGUGGAAUUCCUAGUGUAGCGGUGAAAUGCGUAGAUAUUAGGAGGAACACCGGUGGCGAAGGCGACUUUCUGGACAGAAACUGACGUUGAGGCACGAAAGUGUGGGGAGCA